rnacentral:rRNA from 1 species
AACGAACGCUGGCGGCAUGCCUAACACAUGCAAGUCGAACGAUACCUUUGGGUCUUGUGGCGCAGGGGUGCGUAACGCGUGGGAAUCUGCCCGUGGGGUCGGAAUAACAGGUGGAAACGACUGCUAAUAGCGGAUGAUGGCGUAAGUCCAAAGAUUUAUCGCCCACGGAUGGGCCUGCGUAGGAUGAGCUAGUUGGUGAGGUAAAGGCCCACCAAGGCGACGAUCCUUAGCUGGUCUGGGAGGAUGAUCAGACACACUGGGGCUGAGACACGGCCCAGACUCCUACGGGAGGCAGCAGUGGUGACUAUUGGACACUGGGCGAGAGCCUGAUCCAUCCAUGCCGCGUGAGUGAUGAAGGCGUUAGGGUUGUAAAGCUCUUUUACCCGGGAUGAUAAUGACAGUACCGGGAGAAUAAGCUCCGGCUAACUCCGUG